rnacentral:rRNA from 1 species
UACGUAGGGGGCUAGCGUUGUCCGGAAUCAUUGGGCGUAAAGCGCGCGUAGGCGGCCCGGUAAGUCCGUUGUAAAAGUCAAAGGCUCAACCUUUGAAAGCCGAUGGAUACUGCCGGGCUAGAGUCCGGAAGAGGCGAGUGGAAUUCCUGGUGUAGCGGUGGAAUGCGCAGAUAUCAGGAGGAACACCGGUGGCGAAGGCGGAUCUCUGGGCCAUUACUGACGCUGAGGAGCGAAAGCGUGGGGAGCGAACAGG